AUUGAACGCUGGCGGCAUGCCUUACACAUGCAAGUCGAACGGCAGCGCGGACUUCGGUCUGGCGGCGAGUGGCGAACGGGUGAGUAAUACAUCGGAACGUGCCCUGUUGUGGGGGAUAACUAGUCGAAAGAUUAGCUAAUACCGCAUACGACCUGAGGGUGAAAGCGGGGGACCGUAAGGCCUCGCGCAAUAGGAGCGGCCGAUGUCUGAUUAGCUGGUUGGUGGGGUAAAGGCCCACCAAGGCGACGAUCAGUAGCUGGACUGAGAGGACGAUCAGCCACACUGGGACUGAGACACGGCCCAGACUCCUACGGGAGGCAGCAGUGGGGAAUUUUGGACAAUGGGGGCAACCCUGAUCCAGCAAUGCCGCGUGUGUGAAGAAGGCCUUCGGGUUGUAAAGCACUUUUGUCCGGAAAGAAAUCGCGUUGGAUAAUACCUGACGUGGAUGACGGUACCGGAAGAAUAAGCACCGGCUAACUACGUGCCAGCCGCCGCAGUAACAC
rnacentral:rRNA from 1 species